AAAAAAAAAAAGCUACCGUUGCCCACUUAACGCUGGUGUUAAUCCAUAAAAUGAAGCCAGUUGUCAACUACGAGGUAAAGUUAGGACAACUGCCCCACGGGAAGUAAAAAAGUUGGGUCCUCUCUGCCUCUUGAGGUGCUGAAUCCUAGCCUGGAGCUACAAGCUACACAGUCCAUUCAUCAAAAGCAUGACCCUCUCCAGUGAGGGACAGAAUGCUAUGGACUAAUGAACUCAGUGCACGUGAACACAAUGUGAGGUUAAUUAGCAGCCACUGGUAACCUCUGCGUUCCUGGAUACUUCAUCACAGCUGAAGUGUACUCUUCACCGGGGCUGGUGGCACUGACGAGACCAAACACAAGGCCUUGAGCCAAUUGAAAAAUGAAAACACACAAGAAGUGGAACUGGUUCAACAGUGCGCAGCAUCGGGGGCAUAUGUAUUUGCAGUAAAAAGGUUGCAG